UCUGUAGGUGGUUUAAUAAGUCAACUGUUAAAUCUCGAGGCUCAACUUCGAAACCGCAGUCGAAACUAUUAGACUAGAGUAUAGUAGGGGUAAAGGGAAUUUCCAGUGGAGCGGUGAAGUGCGUAGAGAUUGGAAAGAACACCGAUGGCGAAGGCACUUUACUGGGCUAUUACUAACACUGAGAGACGAAAGCUAGGGUAGCAAAUG
rnacentral:rRNA from 1 species